CAGUAGCCGCGGUAAUACGAAGGGGGCUAGCGUUGCUCGGAAUUACUGGGCGUAAAGGGCUCGCAGGCGGUUUCUUAAGUCUGAUGUGAAAGCCCCCGGCUCAACCGGGGAGGGUCAUUGGAAACUGGGAAACUUGAGUGCAGAAGAGGAGAGUGGAAUUCCACGUGUAGCGGUGAAAUGCGUAGAGAUGUGGAGGAACACCAGUGGCGAAGGCGACUCUCUGGUCUGUAACUGACGCUGAGGAGCGAAAGCGUGGGGAGCGAACAGGAUUAGAUACCCCGGUAGUCCCUGUCUCUUAUAC
rnacentral:rRNA from 1 species